CAUUGACCGGUAUGCCUGGGUUCACCCUGGAGGGUGUGGCUAGUGUCCAUCUUGCAUGUGUCUCUUCAUCCACAUCACAAUGUUAAACAUUCCACAGAGUCAUAGACUUUAGGGUCACAGGUAUGCUGGGGUGGAGGCCUUGGUGCCAUUUUGUCAUUACACAACAGGAUUGGAAUGUCACAGCUAUUGGAACCAGUGGAUAGUGAGGACAAGCUGAUGCUCCCUUAGAGAUAAGGGGGCUGCCUGCCCUGAAGAGAAGCAGGAAAUUCUGCCCAAGUGGAAGGUUUCUGGGGCUCUCCACAAUUGGAAGGCUCUCAUACUGGCUGGAGACUCCAUAGAAGGCACUGGUCAUCGAUGUUGGUGUUGAGGUCUGCCUUCCAGAGACAGAGGAAGGUGUGUUGUCUGCUGGUGUGUCCUAGGGUUCCAAGGACCAGAGAACAGGACUUUCAAAGAAUGGGUCCAGGGGCAGACAAGGAGAGCCAGUAGACUUAAGUUCAUUUUCACCAAUAUGGAUAAUGUGGGAAUUUUACAGGGGUUAUGCAUGUUUAGCAUAGUACUCUUGGUACAUUGUAGGUUCGGAAGGGCCAGUGUCUAAGCAAAGAAAACUGCACACCUAUUGGUUUUGUGCUGGUUGGUAGGAAACAAAAGGGAUAAUUGGAGUGAACUGUCUGUAGGUACCACUUGUGACCCUGUGGCACAAACGUCCAGUGGCUGCAUGCACAUUGAAAUCACCUGUCUCCACCUGAACACCCUUUACCAGUGCUCUCUAGACAAAGCUGGGAAGCAAUUUACUCUAGGGAAGAAACAGUUCACAUUCCAUUAUUAGAAAAGUUACUUGCUUUUGUAACUUUUGCUACAUAUUUUAUUUGUAUCUAAAUGUCUUAGGCAAUCUAAGAACAAAUGUAAAAGUAAAGAUGCAGUAAAAAGGAAUUGCUUGGUGUUCCUGGCCCCCGUGUGUGAACAAAAGCCUUAAACAAAGACAGCUGUAAACAAAGUCCCAUGGGUUAAGCUUCUUUUCUUCUUCUUUUAGCUUUUUGGUUUUUGACUUUUGUAAUUUUCUUUUUUGAUACUUAACAUGUAUGUGCUCUAAAAAAUAAUUAACAUGGAAAUAGAUUGAGAUGUUGCCUUUAAUGUCUUAUGAUAUUUUCAUGACAAUCCAAGCACAAUGUUAAGAACACUUGUAUUAAAGUUCGUGUGAGCAGAAUAAAAA